GAUCUACGCCUUUUCACAGGCAUAGCAGCUGUCAAUCAACGCUGACAGCCAGUAGCGUGGAGCUCCAGCUGGCUUUGUCCCGCCCACCAGCGCUGUGCGGCUAUUUGUGGAGCGGACGGCGCUGCCGCAGCUCCAUUGGUAGAAUCACCCGUCAAUCCGCUCCCGGAGGGUUAACCCCGCCUACUCCCUGCCGCCAUUGGCCAGGCUCCCCCGGCGCGGUGCCUUAAGAGGGGCAGGGCGGAAGGGGGAGCUUCUUCCGCUUCCGGUGCUGGCGGUGGGCGGGCUGUGAGUGGGGCCGGGCAUGGCGCUGGUUGUGCCGCGGGUGCUCGGGGCUGCGCCCGGCAGCAGCUCGGUCUGCGAGGAGCCUCGGGGCAGCCCCUGAGGCCUCUCCGAGGGCUGGGAGCGCAGUGCAGGAGAGUUCAGCGGCGGCCGGGCGGUGAGUGGAAGAGAUAAUGAUUUAAAUCACCUGUUCAGAAGAAAUAUUAAUGGGACUUCCUUGAGACUGCUGAUGUUUUGUUGAUCUUCCUGUUAGAAGAUGUAUUAUCACCUCAUUUUGAGAAGAGCAAUAGGAGUUGAUAUUCAAACUGCAGGGCUUAAUUGGUCAGCCACAAAUAAGGUUACUUCCAGGCAUUCUGCAGCUGAGCAAAAACAGUAGUUAUGAGUCAGUGGUUUGAUGUGCUUAUGUAGUAUGCAAGCACACAUCUAAAAAUACUAUUAGAGAGCUUUUUCUUCAUGUCCAAGUUAGAUACUUGUCUUCCUGACUUGUUGCAGGGUCUGGAAAUGAAGCCCCUUAUGUGUGUAAAUAGUUGAGCUCUGCUUAAGUUUUUUUCUUUUGAAGCUUUUUAACUGGGAUGGUUUGAGCUCCUGUUCUGCAUGUCAGGUAAGUAAUUUGAGGCAUACAAUCAGGGCAGCAUCUGGCAGCAUUAACAUAUCCUAAAUUCUGAGAGCAUUAAGAAUGUUUAAAAUGUACCUACAGUUCUGGCCUGCACAGUUAAAAUCUGUGUGGCAUGCUUAAAUUGUGAAUGCUGAAGAAGCAGCUGUGAACAGUUCCUGAUUAUUAACAAACAGCAGAACUGUUGAAAUACUAUGUUUUUUUCUUGUAGAAACUCAAGCUCCAUGGGAAAUGGACACUUUACAAUCUGAGGUGUAUCUAACUUGUCCUGGAUCUAACCAAGAGACCUAUAAGCAAGUUUGUUUCUGAACUAGAUGAAUAAUUGAAUCAUAUUUAUGCAUUCAUAGGAUAGUCCAAAGAGGGUGUUUGCAUUAGCUUUAAAAUGCAUCAGUCCAUUUCAUGAUUGACAGAGGCAAAGAAUAUAUAUGAAGUUACAUAAGUCAGUUUUAAUGGAUGAUCUAUGUGAUCUGGGUGAGUUGAUUUGGAUCAAGGUAAGAAUGCCUUUAGCAGGGAGAAGUCAUGCUGGUAAUCAAAGCAAAAACCUUUGAGCCUGGCAUUUAAUGAUGAAAAAUGUUCAAGCUUAAAUGCAGACCUUGAAGCUAGAUACAAAGUGAUAGUCAUAGAACAUCCCAAGUUGGAAGGGGCCCACAUGGAUCAUCUCUUUAUGAAGAUUGUGUCAGUUCCUGCUAAGUCUGCUUUUGGAAUUGAGCAAUAGAAAGCUAGAGACUGGGAUUCUAAUACAUGUAUCUCCUGUUCUUUGUGUUCACUUUUGACCAGUGUUGAAGAACAGGGUCCUGGGCGCUGAGCAUCAGGCUUAACUACGUAUGGUAAUCUUUACAAAUUGUGAUGUACUUAAAAUGCUGGAAGUGGCUUCUGGUCUUUCCUAAGCAUGGGAAAACCCUAGGGCAUCUUUUGCCUGUAAGGAAUUCUUGUUCCCUAGUAAAGUCCUAGAGCAUGUUCAUGGCACAGCUACUGUGAUAGGAGUGCUUUUGUUGGCUUGGUUUGGUUUGAGAAUGUGCAGCUGCAGAGAGGCAAGGAAAGCUCUGAUGUGCGUGUCUUUACUGUCCACGAGGGGGCUCUGGCAGGUCGGGGCUGAAUGCCCAAGGUCCUCAACUGAGUUACUUCACUAAAGUGGUAGGCUGUAGUAACUGGAUGCCUAUUGCCCCUGGGGUGAUUAAAUCUGUUUUUCAAUUCCUAUACAAAAUCUUUCUAUACAAAUUUAAAAAAAAUACAGCAAGGUACUUUUCUGUCUCGUAAAAAAUGUAUCUGUUAGAAAAACAUGUCUCAACUGCAGUGGGUAAAUGAUCUUUUCAAUGGGAGAGGACAGAUGCUACCAAAACUGUCAUCACAUGGGUAUCUCAACUGUAUGAGAAAUUUCUCCAAAUAAAAAUUCAAGUGUUUUGCACACAUCAGCACAUUUGUGUGCAACUCUGCAGUUUGCAUGGAAUUCUUAUAGAGAAUCUCAAGUAUGUUUUUCUUAGCAAUGUAAACUUGAUGCUAUGGUAUUUCAAUAAAGAUUUGUUUUUUGUUACACACCCUUCAGUCUUUUUUUUCCUAGGAAUGUGUUUACAUGUUCUAACAGAUUUGAGUUCUUAUAACUUCCCUUUUGAAAAACUGCAGUCUAAUCUGUGUUGUGAGCCUAAAUCAUGUGAAUUGCUGUUGUUUAAUCUUUGCUUGACAAAUCUGUAUUAAAUUCUGAGGAGUGUGGAAGCUUUUUGUUUAAACAUUUGUCUUCAGUUGUUACUGUUAGCAAUGUAACUUUGUUAGAUGUAGCAUAAAUAAGCUCACUUCUGUAAUUGAGGGUAAUUCUCAGCUCUGGAAAUGCUGAGGCUACUUCUCAGCUGUAUACAUUUGUGGCAGUGCAGAAGGGACAUUGCAGGAAUGAAGAAAGUGAGGCUUAAAUGAGAAACUAAAAUGAGCCAAUAUGAUCAAUGGCAUUAUAAAAAAAAUCUAGCUCCACUAUUACUUGAAGAAAAAAAUCUCCCUCACUUGUGUACAUCUCCAUGUGGAUUUGAAUUUUUGUCAGCUUGAAUUAUUUUGACUGAAAUUUCUUGUGGGUGUUGAACAAUUCUUUGUUCUACUAAAGAACCUAAACUUGGAUGAGGUAAAUGAUAAAUACGGUGAUUCUCAGAAGACAGCUGUGGUGCGGAACUUGAAGGCUUGAGACUUUCCUGAGAACUCUCUGAAAGAAGUGUGCCUGGAAACUUGCCCAUGUUUGCCUGCAAUGUGCUGUUCUGGGAACGUUCCUUGUAUAUGUGCAAACUAAACCAAGCUUACUUUUUCCCACUGUG